rnacentral:lncRNA from 1 species
UUAUCUGAUUAUAUAAUGGUGAGAUACAAAGAUGGAACAGGGUGCAGCACAAGGAAAGUGGAUGAGUAUGGAUGCACCCCUUACCUCAUGAAAGUGGACCUCAAGAUGUAUUCUAGCCACUAAAACCUUCACUGGUUAGUGUUCGGUCCUAUGUUCUUUCCUUGCAUUUGGACUUUACAGAUACAGUUUUAGAUAUACAAUGUUCUCUUGCAUUAGUAGUAUAAUUUAUGGACUGCACAGACCGACUAAUUUCUCAGUGGACGAUACACCUUCAAGUUGAUGUAAGCACAAGAUUAAGUUGAUUUAUACCACAUUUCUGUAAGAAAAAAUCAAGUAGAAUUGAUUGCCACCAGAAUUGCUUGGUUCACUGGAUUAACAUCUUCUACGAGCUCAUGUUUGAGAGAAAAAAACGUCUAGAAGCUCAUCGCAUUUCCAGUCUGACAUGUAAAUGGGUUACAACACGCUUUGUAGUUGUUUGUUUCAUCAGAAGUUAUGGUUGAUGUUAAUUGUUUUUUGUUCUGCACAUUAGUGUCUCCUAUGUUUGGUAAUAAGCACAUCUUAUAUGAUCCGCUCCACUCUGCGGUGGUGGCAAGCACAAUAGUGAGUGGAGGUUGAGGGGAGAUUGGGUGGCACAUGGCAGUGCCUGCCGACCGGGAGAGUGCGCGGGAGGAAGAAGUAAUAAAGGAAGAAGAAGAAUAGUGCCGCUUGCACGUUAGCCGUCGGACGGUGACCGAACGUCCUAGAAUUUUUUCCAGACCCGUGUUAAAUAGGUGCUCCCUUUUUAUUUUAUUUUCUUCUAUUGGGAGAUGGACCUUGUACACUUGGAAAUUACAAAAGAUGUUUUUUAUCUCAAAAAAGGGAGAUGCUUUUUAACACUAGAUCUUGUGAUAGCCAGUGCAAACCAUCUGUGUUGAUGUUUUGCACCCAUCCUUCUUCUAGACAGACUUGUGCAUGAACUUGUUAGGAUUGUUUUGGAUUUUUUUCUCAAUCUGCAAUGAUUCUGUUGUUGUUUCAAUCUAAUCUACCAAUCAUGUUCCUCGUCUUAUUUUGAUCCUUCAGUCGCAAAGAUCCUAAAAUGAAAUAUGCAGAUAGAUAGAUAGAUAGAUAGAUAGAUAGAUAGAUAGAUAGAUAGAUAGAUAGAUAUAUAGAUAGAUAGAUAGAUAGAUAGAUAGAUAGAUAGAUAGAUAGAUAGAUAGAUAGAUAGAUAGAUAUAUAGAUAGAUAGAUAGAUAGAUAGAUAGAUAGAUAGAUAGAUAGAAACUAACUGUGUAGCUUUGCGGCCUCGUUUGACAUUGUGCAGGAAACGGAGCUUUACUAUUAAUUGUUGAACGAGGCCACGAGCAAUGCAGCCUCUACCAUUACAUGUUCGCCUGCGAUUUUCAAACUGAUGAAUUUGGAGUAGAGACACUAUUGAAGUACACAUACCAAUCACCAGGUAUUACAGAUUUCCAACCAGCUGUAUAUGAAAUUGAACAUUCUUUCUGGUAUCUGAAACUUCAUGAACUCUAAACAAAUGAGUUAGAUUGUAGUCAGAGAUUUUGGAAAGAGGCCAUCCCAUUGUAGAUCAUGGAAAAAUAUUUAUGAGCUAACAAUUGAUGAUAUUCAUUAACCUGUUUCACUCUAAGUAAGAAGAUAAUGCAAAUAAAAAGAUACUCAAGCCUGCAUAGAGUCCAUUGAUAUGGAAAAAACAUUGUGGUUGUAAUACUCAGUUACUCACCUAACAGAGUUUGAUCCUGCUCACACUUAUUCCAGCUUUCCGUUGCUUUCCUUGUUUGAUCUAUGCACGUAGAUAAAGGAGUUAGAAGGAGGAAUUGAACACAUGAAGAGAGAGGGGGGGGUAAUAGAGAGGAAUCUUCUAUAAUCCACAGGGCAGAGCACAAUGCGACUUCCUCUGCUCGCUACAAACCCCUUUGCAUCGUCCAUAGAGCAGAGCACAACUAGCAGCUCUGUAGUGACGCAACACUUCUGCUACCCAUCCAAAGAGUAAACCCUUCUUCAUCCACGCCAGAUAUAGUGCAACUCAGCGUUGCACCCCUUACUAUUUUCCCUAGAGAUCCAACAUCUUCUGUUUUGAGAAAUACUAUAGUUUUUGAGAUUACCAUAGUUUUAUUUACAAGGAGGUGUUUGGUUUCCCUUAAAAUUGAGGUUUUAAUACUAUAGUAUUUGGUAAAUCAUGGUUUUACCUCUAUAUUAAAAAAAAGAGCCCUGGACCUCUUUUUAAAAAACAGAGCAGCCGAAAAGAACCGGCAUGGCACCCUAUUAUCCUCUCCCCCUCUAUUCUCUGCAGCUCGCCUCGCUCUCCAAGAAAACUCGCCUUGCUCCCACACCCUGCCUCCCUGAUCGAGUGUCCUUUUUGAUAACCACAAGCCUUGAGCACGGCUGUUCAGUGGAGUUGAGUUUAUGCAAGCUUCGGUUGUUAUGCAUGCGGAUGGUAUGGACUGGCCAGCUGGCUAGCUAGCUAGAAAAAUGUGCUGCUCUAUAGACGUGUGCAUGGAUAUUCUUUGGCCGGUCUCUACAUGCAACGGCUAGCUCCGCUAGAAAAACAGACAUUUCGCAGCUAGUACAACUAAUUUUACAAUGAUGUGUCAAACGUCUUCUAUGUAUUAAUACUUUAAAAUACUCUGAUAUGUCAAUACCACGGUAUUCAUGCCUACUAGCUAAAUUACUAUAGUUUUUUGAUACUUUGGUUUUUGCAAUACUUUACUGUCAAACACAGGCUAAGUUGUUUCUUCAUUUGUACCAUCUUAUCUGUUCAGGUUGGCAUCACACUGGAAGAUCUUCUGGUCAACACGUAGUUGUACAAGUCAACUAGGAUGUCUACAUGGUGAUUCUUCUGUUCAGUGACAACACGAUCAAGUGGGGUGAGGCUUGUCUGUGGUCUUUCAAGCAAUACAAGUUUGAUGACUCUUCUGCUAGAGACACGUGGCCCUGUUUGAAUAAUGCAGCUUCACAAGAUGGUGGCGAGUCUGGUAUUCAGAACAUCUCAUGAAUAUGGCAAUGCCAUUCAAUGAACGGCUGAGCAGAAAUAUACAAAAGUGUGAACCUGCCAUUGUUUCCUAGACAUAGCUGUAGCCGUAAGUCAAGCUCAUACCGUUAGUGUAGCUUAGUUUGAAGACAUAACAUCUUAUUAUCUGAUGUAAAUUAUAUUUACCAAUGUGGCUGGUUGUUACUGAACACAUCUAUGGAUGUUGAGAUCUUGAAUUUUUUGUCUUAAUGUGUUUGAGGUAUGCAAUUGAACCUUGAGUGAAAUGAUGUAUGAUGCAUGGGCAUAUUGUGAUUGGAUUCUAAAUCGAGGAUAUGUUGCCCAGAACGGCCAGAUUGUUUUUGAAACAAAACAGGAUGACAUAUU